GAGGGUAUAGCUCAAGUGGUAGAGCGCAUGCUUAGCAUGCAUAAGGUCCUGGGUUCAAUCCCCAGUACCUUCA
rnacentral:tRNA from 1 species